UUCUGGUUGAUCCCGCCGGACCUGACUGCUAUCGGAUUGGUACUAAGCCAUGCGAGUCAUUGUAGCAAUACAAGGCGGACGGCUCAGUAACACGUAGUCAACCUAACUCGUGGACGUGGAUAACCUCGGGAAACUGAGAAUAAACCACGAUAGAUCAUAGUGCCUGGAAUGGCUUAUGGUCCAAACAGUUUACUGCCAUGGGAUGGGACUGCGGCCUAUCAGCUUGUUGGUGAGGUAAUGGCCCACCAAGGCGAUUACAGGUACGGGCUCUGAGAGGAGAAGCCCGGAGAUGGGUACUGAGACACGGGCCCAGGCCCUAUGGGGCGCAGCAGGCGAGAAACCUUAGCAAUGUGCGAAAGCACGACUGGGUCAGUCCGAGUGAUUCCUGAUAAAGGAGUCUUUUGCUUGUCCUAAAAGCACAGGUGAAUAAGGGGUGGGCAAGUCUGGUGUCAGCCGCCGCGGUAAUACCAGCACCUCGAGUGGUCAGGACGUUUAUUGGGCCUAAAGCAUCCGUAGCCGGCUCUGCAAGUCUUCGGUCAAAUCCACCUGCUCAACAGAUGGGCUGCUGGAGAUACUACAGAGCUAGGGAGUGGGAGAGGCAGACGGUAUUCAGUGGGUAGGGGUAAAAUCCUCUGAUCCAUUGAGGACCACCAGUGGCGAAGGCGGUCUGCCAGAACACGUUCGACGGUGAGGGAUGAAAGCUGGGGCGCAAACCGGAUUAGAUACCCGGGUAGUCCCAGCUGUAAACGAUGCAAACUCGGUGAUGCAUUGGCUUAUGGCCAAUGCAGUGCCGCAGGGAAGCCGUUAAGUUUGCCGCCUGGGAAGUACGGACGCAAGUCUGAAACUUAAAGGAAUUGGCGGGGGAGCACCACAAGGGGUGAAGCCUGCGGUUCAAUUGGAUUCAACGCCGG
rnacentral:rRNA from 1 species